rnacentral:lncRNA from 1 species
CCCUUUGCCCAUUGGGAUCAACCAGAAGCUGGUGGAAAUGCAAGAGAUCUCAAGCCUCUGUUCACAAAAGUUCUUAUACUCCAUCUUCAGAGAAAAACGUGGAAUCCUUGCUUUGGAUGAGACAAAGGCAUCCAGCAAUGAGACUCUCAGAGCCUGAAGGCAGAGGACCUUGGAAGAAUGUUCCAAGAACUCAUGGGACUUGGCUUCUGCCCCCAAGGAGCCUACCUGGCGACUCUCCAGCCUCGGUGACUUUUCUCAUUGCUAAGACAAAAUACCCAACACCCCAAGUUAAGGGAGAAAGGGUAUUUAGCUCACAGUCUAUAGACAUUUCAGGCCAUAGUUGUCUGGCUCCAAGGCAGGGUGGCCUGGCAGAGGGCAUCGCAGAGGAGAAAUAGUCCAUGGCAGGGCAGAAGACAGCAAGUGACAGCAGCAGCCCUCUUUCUGUCCCUUAUAUUCUAUCCAGGCUAACUGCCCUUAGGGUGGGUACUACUCAAACCCAGGGUAGGGCAUCUGUAACCCCAGCAUCACACACCCUAAAUGCCAGCAUCACACACCCUAAAUCCAGUCACUCAAAAAACCCCACCUAUGACCCCAUAAGGCUUUGGGGGGACAUCUAGACACAAGUCAUAACAGCUCCUAUCAUCAUCAGAAGGAGCAAACCACUGACAUAGACAGGCAUUACCACGGGUCUCUGGUUGCUAAGGCAGAGAGAGUGUCGGGCCCUGAGUCAGAAAAGCCAUGGGGACCAAUGGUUAGAUUUGAGAAGACUGCUAGAUGGGCAGGUCACUGGAACCGAGGCCUCAGUGGAAAGGAAGGAAAGGAGAUAACAGGACACGAAUCCUCCAGCAGUCCAGCAUAUUCAGGCUGUGUCUGCUACCUGCUCGUUGGCCAUCUGGUGGCUGCCUCACUCAUAGAUCGGUCACAGCAGCAUGGCAGGGCCCAUGUUCCAAUAACCCUUGCACAGCAGCCUGCACUGCUCCACGGUGCCUACAUCGUUCACCUCCUCUCAGCUCAUUACAGAGGCACUGUGUCUUGCCCUUCACACAAGAAGGCUGAGGACAAUAAAAUGUCUAUUAUUAUGACAAAUUCUUUUUGAUUACUAGUUAUCAUUGUUAUUCUCUUACUGUGUCUAAUUUGCAAAUUAAACUUUACUGUAGGUCUAAGCAUAGGAAAAACAUAUUAUCAUUAGGGUUUGGUACCCCAUGGUUUCAGGCAUCCAGUGUCAGGUCUAGAACCUAAUCUCCAUAGAUAAGGGGGGACUACAGUCCUCUCAAAUACUUGGUGCUCCUGAGUUCCAAACAAACCUUCCAGACCGACACUAAUUUACUAUUUUUAAGGUGAAGAAAUGGGGAUAGACGGCCUUGGGGUCAAAGAUUCCCAGUCAUGGCAGGUCCUCAGGCUCCUCUGGGCCAUGCUGUCUCCAGGAAUGCAGGGGAGGUGGAAAGAUCAGGUACACAGGGUCUUCCAGCUGAAAAGACAUGGCGUUGUGAAAGCCAUCGAGGGGAAGACUGCACAGGUAGAUGGAGAACCCCGAGGGGCCAUUGGAAAGGAUGUGACAGGUA